AACGAACGCUGGCGGCAUGCCUAACACAUGCAAGUCGAACGAAGCCUUCGGGCUUAGUGGCGCACGGGUGCGUAACACGUGGGAAUCUGCCCUUCGGUUCGGAAUAACAGUUAGAAAUGACUGCCAAUACCGGAUGAUGACGUAAGUCCAAAGAUUUAUCGCCCGAAGGAUGAGCCCGCGUAGGAUUAGGUAGUUGGUAGGGUAAUGGGCCUACCAAGCCGACGAUCCUUAGCUGGUCUGAGAGGAUGAUCAGCCACACUGGGACUGAGACACGGCCCAGACUCCUACGGGAGGCAGCAGUGGGGAAUAUUGGACAAUGGGCGAAAGCCUGAUCCAGCAAUGCCGCGUGAGUGAUGAAGGCCUUAGGGUGUAAAGCUCUUUUACCAGGGAUGAUAAUGACAGUAACCUGGAGAAUAAGCUCCGGCUAACUCCGUGCCAGCAGCCGC
rnacentral:rRNA from 1 species